rnacentral:rRNA from 1 species
AAACCAGCACCUCAAGUGGUCAGGAGGAUUAUUGGGCCUAAAGCAUCCGUAGCCUGUUCUGUAAGUUUUCGGUUAAAUCCAUUAGCUCAACUAAUGGGCUGCCGAAAAUACUGUAGAACUAGGGAGUGGGAGAGGUAGACGGUAUUCGGUAGGAAGGGGUAAAAUCCUUUGAUCUAUUGAGGACCACCUGUGGCGAAGGCGGUCUACCAGAACACGUUCGACGGUGAGGGAUGAAAGCUGGGGGAGCAAACCGGAUUAGAAACCCCAGUAGUCC